GAAUUCAGAUGAAAAAGUCAUCAACAACAAAGUUGUAUAACUCAUCAAGAUCUAUAACUUAUAUUAUAUUCAUUUCCUCAUCCAACAAAGUGAUGGAAACAUUUUCACAAAAUUUACAUCUCUCUCUCCAUAGUUUAUAAAACUAUAUACGAGAUAUACAUUUUGUGAACAAUGUUACUAUCACUUUAUCGGAUGAAGAAAUGACCAAUAUAAGAGUUAUAGACAUUGAUGAGUUAUAUAACUUUGUUAUUGAUGACUUUUUCAGUUGAAAUC
rnacentral:pre_miRNA from 1 species